UUUUUUUCACUGCCAUAUCUACAAAGCAUAAGCAACAAUUUCUCUCUUCGCAGCCCACACUCUUUCUACUCUAUUGGGAUUUUUUUUUACCAUCCUACAAAUCUAGAAAACAACUUUUUCACAGAAGAAUACAAUACAGAUAUCCAUUUGAAGAAGCGGUUGUUGCAGAUCUAAAGGUAUACGCUCUACAUGCUAACUCAAAAAUAUUAGUAUCAAUUUUUUUCAUUCUAAAUUGCUUUGUUAAUGAUUUUUUGUUUCCACAGAUUCAGAUCGGCGAAUAUAUUAGAUCUACAUAACUACAUUGAAUCACAUCUUACAUCCACAAAAAAAAAGUUAAGUUUCCAAAAAAUGUUAAUCAUCUAAAUCUACAUUUAUGUAACUAAAAAACAUUUCAAUCCUCUAUAUCGCAGAUUUUCGAAGAAGUAGUGUUCAUCAUUUACAUCUACAACUACCUAAUAUAAGCAGGUAAUCACUUAUCUUCAAAAAGAAUUCAAAAUAAAUCACCAUUACACUCACAUGAUUCGACGAUGUCUUCCUUCUUCCGUUUACCACAUAUCUUCGUAGAUUUACUUAACUUCUUCAUAUCACCUUUUCACCACAGCAACAGUACCUUGGCCAAAACCCAAAAAAAUAAGUCCCUUGUUAGUGAACACGUAGAAUGAUUUUAUUAAUUUGAAAUGGCUUUGUAAACACUGUCAAGUUUUUUUAUUCAUCAUUGUUUAUAUCUUCUUAUGUGCUUUUUAACAUACUAAGUAUCCUUUUUUCAUAUAUAUGUACAAUUGUAACAGUUCUAGAGUUCCAUCAAAC
rnacentral:lncRNA from 1 species